GAGUUUGAAUAUGGCUCAGGAUGAACGCUAGCGGGAGGCCUAACACAUGCAAGCCGAGCGGUAUUUGUUCUUCGGAACAGAGAGAGCGGCGUACGGGUGCGGAACACGUGUGCAACCUGCCUUUAUCAGGGGGAUAGCCUUUCGAAAGGAAGAUUAAUACCCCAUAAUAUUUAGAAUGGCAUCAUUUUAAAUUGAAAACUCCGGUGGAUAGAGAUGGGCACGCGCAAGAUUAGAUAGUUGGUAGGGUAACGGCCUACCAAGUCUACGAUCUUUAGGGGGCCUGAGAGGGUGAUCCCCCACACUGGUACUGAGACACGGACCAGACUCCUACGGGAGGCAGCAGUGAGGAAUAUUGGACAAUGGGUGCGAGCCUGAUCCAGCCAUCCCGCGUGAAGGACGACGGCCCUAUGGGUUGUAAACUUCUUUUGUAUAGGGAUAAACCUUUCCACGUGUGGAAAGCUGAAGGUACUAUACGAAUAAGCACCGGCUAACUCCGUGCCAGCAGCCGCGGUAAUACGGAGGGUGCAAGCGUUAUCCGGAUUUAUUGGGUUUAAAGGGUCCGUAGGCGGAUCUGUAAGUCAGUGGUGAAAUCUCACAGCUUAACUGUGAAACUGCCAUUGAUACUGCAGGUCUUGAGUGUUGUUGAAGUAGCUGGAAUAAGUAGUGUAGCGGUGAAAUGCAUAGAUAUUACUUAGAACACCAAUUGCGAAGGCAGGUUACUAAGCAACAACUGACGCUGAUGGACGAAAGCGUGGGGAGCGAACAGGAUUAGAUACCCUGGUAGUCCACGCCGUAAACGAUGCUAACUCGUUUUUGGGUUUUCGGAUUCAGAGACUAAGCGAAAGUGAUAAGUUAGCCACCUGGGGAGUACGAACGCAAGUUUGAAACUCAAAGGAAUUGACGGGGGCCCGCACAAGCGGUGGAUUAUGUGGUUUAAUUCGAUGAUACGCGAGGAACCUUACCAAGGCUUAAAUGGGAAAUGACAGGUUUAGAAAUAGACUUUUCUUCGGACAUUUUUCAAGGUGCUGCAUGGUUGUCGUCAGCUCGUGCCGUGAGGUGUUAGGUUAAGUCCUGCAACGAGCGCAACCCCUGUCACUAGUUGCCAUCAUUAAGUUGGGGACUCUAGUGAGACUGCCUACGCAAGUAGAGAGGAAGGUGGGGAUGACGUCAAAUCAUCACGGCCCUUACGCCUUGGGCCACACACGUAAUACAAUGGCCGGUACAGAGGGCAGCUACACAGCGAUGUGAUGCAAAUCUCGAAAGCCGGUCUCAGUUCGGAUUGGAGUCUGCAACUCGACUCUAUGAAGCUGGAAUCGCUAGUAAUCGCGCAUCAGCCAUGGCGCGGUGAAUACGUUCCCGGGCCUUGUACACACCGCCCGUCAAGCCAU
rnacentral:rRNA from 1 species